rnacentral:tRNA from 1 species
UAGGAAGUAAUAUAACGGGAGUAUGAAGGGUUUUGAUCUCUUAUGAAUAGGUUCGACUCCUAUCUUUCUAA